rnacentral:rRNA from 1 species
AAGGGCACCACAAGAACGCGUGGAGCAUGUGGCUUAAUUUGACUCAACGCGGGAAAUCUUACCGGGUCCGGACACACUGAGGAUUGACAGAUAUACGCUGCGUUGCUGUACCUUCGGGUGUGCACGUGGCUCAAAGAUGCUAGUUCUUUCAUGAUUAUGUGAUAGGUGGUGCAUGGCCGUUCUUAGUUCGUGGAGUGAUCUGUCUGCUUAAUUGCGUAUCAAUAAUAGAGACCUAGUAUACGCGUAUUACUCAUGUGGUAGUGACCCCCUUCUCACGGAGGCGCGUGUCGCACAUAUGGUAUACGCACUGGUCUCAGAUAGCAACGAACGUGACCGUAUUCUAUUGUUGCAGUGAAUUAUACGCGUGUGCUAUUACAGCGCGCCGUUCCCACUGCUUAGUGUGCGCUGCUAGUACUUGUUGCUGCUGCGUCACACAUUAAACUAUAGAGACCGCUGUUUCUUCUUUAAACCAGAGGAAGGAUACGGCAAUAACAGGUCUGUGAUGCCCUCAGAUGUUCCGGGCUGCACGCGUGCUACAAUGAUCAUUGCACUGUGCAUCUAACCCAAUGUGCGCGGACGCACGAUAUGUAUUUGUCUUCGGGCAUUUUAUGUAUUCGCUUGUGCGACUGCGCCGAACCUACUUCGAAAGUAAAAUUUUU